rnacentral:rRNA from 1 species
UACAGAGGGUGCAAACGUUGCUCGGAAUCAUUGGGCGUAAAGCGCACGUAGGCGGCCCAGCAAGUGGGGAGUGAAAGCCCUCGGCUUAACCGAGGAAGUGCUUUCCAAACUACUGGGCUUGAAUACUGGAGAGGGUCGCGGAAUUCCCGGUGAUAGAGGUGAAAUUCGUAGAUAUUCGCAAGAACACCAGUGGCGAAGGCGGCUCACUGGCCCGGUACUGACGCUGAGGUGCGAAAGCGUGGGGAUCAAAC